GGUUGAUCCUGCCAGUAGUCAUAUGCUUGUCUCAAAGAUUAAGCCAUGCAAGUCUAAGUACGACUCUCGUAUAGUGAUUCUGCGAAUGGCUCAUUACAUCGGUCAUAAUUUCCUGGACGAGUUAUUUGUACUUGGAUAACUGUGCCAAUUGUAGAGCUAAUACAUGCCACGGACUGUCUCUCCGGAGACGGUGCUUUUAUUGGAUCAAACGCCGAUGGCAUUCGUGCCUCGAGCGGCGAAUCGUGAUAACUCUAGCAUAUCGCACGGUUUCACACCGGCGAAGCGUCCUUCAAGUGACUGCCUUAUCAGCUGUCGAUGGUAGUGUAUUGGACUACCAUGGCAUUAACGGGUAACGGGGAAUUAGGGUUCGAUUCCGGAGAGGGAGCCUGAGAAACGGCUACCACAUCUAAGGAAGGCAGCAGGCACGCAAAUUACCCAUUCCCGACUCGGGGAGGUAGUGACGAAAAAUAACGAUACGUGGUACUCAUUCGAGAACCCGUAAUUGGAAUGAGUACAAUUUAAAUCCUUUAACGAGGAUCUAUUGGAGGGCAAGUCUGGUGCCAGCAGCCGCGGUAAUUCCAGCUCCAAUAGCGUAUAUUAAAGUUGUUGCAGUUAAAAAGCUCGUAGUUGGAUCUUGGAUACGGGUAUCGCGGUCUGAGCAGUGUCUCUGUACUGCGAUUGCCCUGUCUGUAUUUUCGGAGGCCCGUCGGUGUCCUUUGUUGGGUGCUGUCGGGUGCCGAAGCGUUUACUUUGUUUGAAAAUUAGAGUGUUCAAAGCAGACACGUUCGUCCGCAUAAUUUUGCAUGGAAUAAUGGAAUA
rnacentral:rRNA from 1 species